CUUCACUUGUUACAGGCCCCUUAUCUGAGGAUGCCUCUGGAUCUUGGUAAAAAGGAGGUUGGUUUGUACAAGCUUGUUUGGGUGCCACCUUCAUCUUCCUUUAAUUGAUGUUCUUCUGUUUCUGUAUGCUCUUCUUCUUCUAAUUCUUGUAAACAUGACUAUUCUUGUAAUCAAGUUGUUAGUUUGCCUUUGAAUGUAAACAGUUCCAUGUAAUAAUACUGUUGCCACUGACAUGAAUUACAUUUGGCAUUUAAGGUUGGGUCAUAUACCNNNN
rnacentral:lncRNA from 1 species